rnacentral:rRNA from 1 species
AUUGAACGCUGGCGGCAUGCCUUACACAUGCAAGUCGAACGGCAGCACGGGAGCAAUCCUGGUGGCGAGUGGCGAACGGGUGAGUAAUGUAUCGGAACGUGCCCAGUCGUGGGGGAUAACGUAGCGAAAGCUACGCUAAUACCGCAUACGAUCUAUGGAUGAAAGCGGGGGACCGUAAGGCCUCGCGCGAUUGGAGCGGCCGAUAUCAGAUUAGGUAGUUGGUGAGGUAAAGGCUCACCAAGCCGACGAUCUGUAGCUGGUCUGAGAGGACGACCAGCCACACUGGGACUGAGACACGGCCCAGACUCCUACGGGUGGCAG